UUCGGGCUUCGCGCGGAUAGAUGAGCCGAUGUCGGAUUNGCUAGUUGGCGGGGUAAAGGCCCACCAAGGCGACGAUCCGUAGCUGGUCUGAGAGGAUGAUCAGCCACACUGGAACUGAGACACGGUCCAGACUCCUACGGGAGGCAGCAGUGGGGAAUAUUGGACAAUGGGCGCAAGCCUGAUCCAGCCAUGCCGCGUGGGUGAAGAAGGCCUUCGGGUUGUAAAGCCCUUUUGUUGGGAAAGAAAAGCAGUCGGUUAAUACCCGAUUGUUCUGACGGUACCCAAAGAAUAAGCACCGGCUAACUUCGUGCCAGCAGCCGCGGUAAUACGAAGGGUGCAAGCGUUACUCGGAAUUACUGGGCGUAAAGCGUGCGUAGGUGGUUGUUUAAGUCCGUUGUGAAAGCCCUGGGCUCAACCUGGGAAUUGCAGUGGAUACUGGGCAACUAGAGUGUGGUAGAGGAUGGCGGAAUUCCCGGUGUAGCAGUGAAAUGCGUAGAGAUCGGGAGGAACAUCUGUGGCGAAGGCGGCCAUCUGGACCAACACUGACACUGAGGCACGAAAGCGUGGGGAGCAA
rnacentral:rRNA from 2 species